UGCGGAUUAGAGUAACGGUAACUCAACACUCUUUGAAAGUGUUGUUGGAGGUUCGAAUCCUCCAUCCGCAG
rnacentral:tRNA from 1 species